AUGAGGAAGAUGAUGAAACCAGAAAAUCUUAGGACACCUUCUGACGCAGUGAAAGAUUGCUGUGUAUGAGAAAGAUUUUCAGUUUCUGAUGCUUAU
rnacentral:snoRNA from 1 species